rnacentral:tRNA from 4 species
GGCUGCUUAGCUCAGCUGGCUAGAGCAAGCGACUCAUAUUCGCUAGGUCCGGGGUUCGAGUCCCUGAGCAGCCACCA